rnacentral:lncRNA from 1 species
GCUGCUGCUGCUGCUGUUGAUGGUGGUGCUGCGGCUGUUGCUGAUGCUGCUGGUGGUGAUGGGGAUUGUGCUGGUGGUGGUGCCCAGCGGCGCGGCGGAUCUCGUCGUCGGGGUGACGCUGUUGGCCGUGGUAGUGUUGAGCGGGCGAGCUGUGGUAGGGCGGCGGCUGCGGNGGGAAGGCCUCGUACGGGUCGUACUGCUCGUGCCUGGACCGCGCGGGCCCGCCGCCCCCUCCCGGCGCGAAGUGGCCGUUGCUGUGCUGGUGCUGCGCGGGGUAGUAGUGCCCUCCGCCGCCGCCGCGGCGGUGGUCGUAGGGCGGGGCCGGAUCCAUGGCCGCGCGACGAGUCGCCGGCGAGGGGGAGGGGAAUUCUAGGGUUUGCGCGAGAGAGAUCCCACGCGGGUGGAUGGAUGGGGAAAUCGGCUUUGGCUUUGCUUGGCUUUGGCUUGGCUUGGACUUGGAUUGGGCAGCCGGCAACGGCAGGAGCUGCGGGCUAGGGUUUGGAUUGGGUGGCGGGACGGGGUCGGAUCUGUGGAUGGCGUCGGCCGGCGGCGGUGGGCGAGGCGGCGCCAGGGUUGGGUUGGGCUAGCCUUAUAUUGAGUAGGUAAAAGGUAGGCCGGUUUGCAUCAGCAGCUACCUGUUCCGACGGUCGAGGGUGUCCGGCGACCCUUCUCUCCCACGUGCCACCUGCGUGGUGACUUGCCCUUGUUUUCUCUUCUCUUCUCUUUUCUUUUCUUUUUUACCCGCUGCCCGGUCCCGCGCGUAUCUAUGUGUCUUCUCCCGCCGUCCAGCCACUGCCGACAAAUAUCGUCCGUCGACGGUGGCGGUGCGGUACAGUCUGGUUCGUCGGGCCCCUCUAAUCCCAG